rnacentral:rRNA from 1 species
GAUGAACGCUGGCGGCGUGCCUAAUACAUGCAAGUCGAGCGAAUGGAUUAAGAGCUUGCUCUUAUGAAGUUAGCGGCGGACGGGUGAGUAACACGUGGGUAACCUGCCCAUAAGACUGGGAUAACUCCGGGAAACCGGGGCUAAUACCGGAUAACAUUUUGAACCGCAUGGUUCGACAUUGAAAGGCGGCUUCGGCUGUCACUUAUGGAUGGACCCGCGUCGCAUUAGCUAGUUGGUGAGGUAACGGCUCACCAUGGCAACGAUGCGUAGCCGACCUGAGAGGGUGAUCGGCCACACUGGGACUGAGACACGGCCCAGACUCCUACGGGAGGCAGCAGUAGGGAAUCUUCCGCAAUGGACGAAAGUCUGACGGAGCAACGCCGCGUGAGUGAUGAAGGCUUUCGGGUCGUAAAACUCUGUUGUUAGGGAAGAACAAGUGCUAGUUGAAUAAGCUGGCACCUUGACGGUACCUAACCAGAAAGCCACGGCUAACUACGUGCCAGCCGCCGCCGCAA